CGGUUGGGGAUGGACUCGCGGCCUAUCAGCUAGUUGGUGAGGUAAUGGCUCACCAAGGCGACGACGGGUAGCCGGCCUGAGAGGGUGACCGGCCACACUGGGACUGAGACACGGCCCAGACUCCUACGGGAGGCAGCAGUGGGGAAUAUUGCACAAUGGGCGCAAGCCUGAUGCAGCAACGCCGCGUGAGGGAUGACGGCCUUCGGGUUGUAAACCUCUUUUAGUAGGGAAGAAGCGCAAGUGACGGUACCUGCAGAAAAAGCACCGGCUAACUACGUGCCAGCAGCCGCGGUAAUACGUAGGGUGCAAGCGUUGUCCGGAAUUAUUGGGCGUAAAGAGCUCGUAGGCGGCUUGUCGCGUCUGCUGUGAAAACCCGAGGCUCAACCUCGGGCUUGCAGUGGGUACGGGCAGGCUAGAGUGUGGUAGGGGAGAUUGGAAUUCCUGGUGUAGCGGUGGAAUGCGCAGAUAUCAGGAGGAACACCGAUGGCGAAGGCAGAUCUCUGGGCCACUACUGACGCUGAGGAGCGAAAGCAUGGGGAGCGAACAGGAUUAGAUACCCUGGUAGUCCAUGCCGUAAACGUUGGGAACUAGAUGU
rnacentral:rRNA from 1 species